UUUGGAAUCCGAUAUUUUUAUCACCGGAAAUCAUGAUCGGAGCAGAGCAGUGCAAAAUAAGAGUUUUCAACAUUCAAGAAAAAGGUUAUGUUGAUGGGUUUCUCCUUUGGUUUUGGGCUCGAGUUGAGUUGUGAGCAUUAAAAAGCUAGGUGUUUUAGGCCUAGACUUUUAGUUAGUUGAAGAGUUAGUUUUCUCUUUUUGUUAUUACUCUAAUUAAUUUAAUUUAUUUAUACUAUUUACUUAUGUUGGUUUAUCACUUAGUUAUGUAAUCGCAUUUCUUGUAGUAGUGACAUUCCCAGAAGACGAUGUUUCCGCCAUCGUCCUAUUAAUACUAUUAUUAUUUCUUUCGUUUCCGCUUUCAAA